rnacentral:rRNA from 1 species
CACGUAGGGGGCGAGCGUUGUCCGGAUUUAUUGGGCGUAAAGAGCUCGUAGGCGGCUCGGUAAGUCGGGUGUGAAAACUCUAGGCUCAACCUAGAGACGCCACCCGAUACUGCUGUGGCUAGAGUCCGGUAGGGGAGCAUGGAAUUCCUGGUGUAGCGGUGAAAUGCGCAGAUAUCAGGAGGAACACCAAUUGCGAAGGCAGCUCGCUGGGACGUUACUGACGCUGAGACGCGAAAGCGUGGGGAGCAAACAGG